AUUGAACGCUGGCGGCAGGCCUAACACAUGCAAGUCGAGCGGAUGAAGGGAGCUUGCUCCUGGAUUCAGCGGCGGACGGGUGAGUAAUGCCUAGGAAUCUGCCUGGUAGUGGGGGAUAACGUCCGGAAACGGGCGCUAAUACCGCAUACGUCCAGAGGGAGAAAGUGGGGGAUCUUCGGACCUCACGCUAUCAGAUGAGCCUAGGUCGGAUUAGCUAGUUGGUGGGGUAAAGGCCUACCAAGGCGACGAUCCGUAACUGGUCUGAGAGGAUGAUCAGUCACACUGGAACUGAGACACGGUCCAGACUCCUACGGGAGGCAGCAGUGGGGAAUAUUGGGCAAUGGGCGAAAGCCUGAUCCAGCCAUGCCGCGUGUGUGAAGAAGGUCUUCGGAUUGUAAAGCACUUUAAGUUGGGAGGAAGAGAAGUAAGUUAAUACCUGGCUGUUUUGACGUUACCAACAGAAUAAGCACCGGCUAACUUCGUG
rnacentral:rRNA from 1 species